GACGAACGCUGGCGGCGUGCUUAACACAUGCAAGUCGAACGGAAAGGCCUGCUUUCCCUUGUGGAUUGCGGGUACUCGAGUGGCGAACGGGUGAGUAACACGUGAGUGAUCUGCCCCCAACUUGGGUAUAAGCCUGGGAAACUGGGUCUAAUUCCCGAUAGGACUGCAGGGUGGUGCCUGUGGUGGAAAACGAUUUUCUAGUGGUUGGGGAUGAGCUCGCGGCCUAUCAGCUUGUUGGUGGGGUAAUGGCCUACCAAGGCGGCGACGGGUAGCCGGCCUGAGAGGGUGGACGGCCACAUUGGGACUGAGAUACGGCCCAGACUCCUACGGGAGGCAGCAGUGGGGAAUAAUGCACAAUGGGCGGAAGCCUGAUGCAGCGACGCCGCGUGGGGGAUGACGGCCUUCGGGUGGUAAACUCCUUUCGACCGCGAGGAAGCCACCUGGUUGGAAGGGUGGUGACGGUAGUGGUAGAAGAAGCACCGGCUAACUACGUG
rnacentral:rRNA from 1 species